AUUGAACGCUGGCGGAAUGCUUUACACAUGCAAGUCGAACGGCAGCACGAGGGCAACCUUGGUGGCGAGUGGCGAACGGGUGAGUAAUACAUCGGAACGUGCCCAGUCGUGGGGGAUAACGUAGCGAAAGCUACGCUAAUACCGCAUACGAUCCAUGGAUGAAAGCGGGGGACCGUAAGGCCUCGCGCGAUUGGAGCGGCCGAUGGCAGAUUAGGUAGUUGGUGGGGUAAAGGCUCACCAAGCCUGCGAUCUGUAGCUGGUCUGAGAGGACGACCAGCCACACUGGAACUGAGACACGGUCCAGACUCCUACGGGAGGCAGCAGUGGGGAAUUUUGGACAAUGGGCGCAAGCCUGAUCCAGCCAUUCCGCGUGCAGGAUGAAGGCCU
rnacentral:rRNA from 1 species